GGAGAUAGCUUAGUGGUAGAGCAUGUGCUUAGGAUGCAUGAGGUCCUGGGUUCAAUCCUCAGUGCCUCCA
rnacentral:tRNA from 1 species